rnacentral:rRNA from 1 species
GGUUAAGCGACUAAGCGUACACGGUGGAUGCCCUGGCAGUCAGAGGCGAUGAAGGACGUGCUAAUCUGCGAUAAGCGUCGGUAAGGUGAUAUGAACCGUUAUAACCGGCGAUUUCCGAAUGGGGAAACCCAGUGUGAUUCGUCACACUAUCAUUAACUGAAUCCAUAGGUUAAUGAGGCGAACCGGGGGAACUGAAACAUCUAAGUACCCCGAGGAAAAGAAAUCAACCGAGAUUCCCCCAGUAGCGGCGAGCGAACGGGGAGCAGCCCAGAGCCUGAAUCAGUGGGUGUGUUAGUGGAAGCGUCUGGAAAGGCGCGCGAUACAGGGUGACAGCCCCGUACACAAAAAUGCACAUGCUGUGAGCUCGAUGAGUAGGGCGGGACACGUGGUAUCCUGUCUGAAUAUGGGGGGACCAUCCUCCAAGGCUAAAUACUCCUGACUGACCGAUAGUGAACCAGUACCGUGAGGGAAAGGCGAAAAGAACCCCGGCGAGGGGAGUGAAAAAGAACCUGAAACCGUGUACGUACAAGCAGUGGGAGCACGCUUCGGCGUGUGACUGCGUACCUUUUGUAUAAUGGGUCAGCGACUUAUAUUCUGUAGCAAGGUUAACCGAAUAGGGGAGCCGAAGGGAAACCGAGUCUUAACUGGGCGUUAAGUUGCAGGGUAUAGACCCGAAACCCGGUGAUCUAGCCAUGGGCAGGUUGAAGGUUGGGUAACACUAACUGGAGGACCGAACCGACUAAUGUUGAAAAAUUAGCGGAUGACUUGUGGCUGGGGGUGAAAGGCCAAUCAAACCGGGAGAUAGCUGGUUCUCCCCGAAAGCUAUUUAGGUAGCGCCUCGUGAAUUCAUCUCCGGGGGUAGAGCACUGUUUCGGCAAGGGGGUCAUCCCGACUUACCAACCCGAUGCAAACUGCGAAUACCGGAGAAUGUUAUCACGGGAGACACACGGCGGGUGCUAACGUCCGUCGUGAAGAGGGAAACAACCCAGACCGCCAGCUAAGGUCCCAAAGUCAUGGUUAAGUGGGAAACGAUGUGGGAAGGCCCAGACAGCCAGGAUGUUGGCUUAGAAGCAGCCAUCAUUUAAAGAAAGCGUAAUAGCUCACUGGUCGAGUCGGCCUGCGCGGAAGAUGUAACGGGGCUAAACCAUGCACCGAAGCUGCGGCAGCGACACUAUGUGUUGUUGGGUAGGGGAGCGUUCUGUAAGCCUGUGAAGGUGUACUGUGAGGUAUGCUGGAGGUAUCAGAAGUGCGAAUGCUGACAUAAGUAACGAUAAAGCGGGUGAAAAGCCCGCUCGCCGGAAGACCAAGGGUUCCUGUCCAACGUUAAUCGGGGCAGGGUGAGUCGACCCCUAAGGCGAGGCCGAAAGGCGUAGUCGAUGGGAAACAGGUUAAUAUUCCUGUACUUGGUGUUACUGCGAAGGGGGGACGGAGAAGGCUAUGUUGGCCGGGCGACGGUUGUCCCGGUUUAAGCGUGUAGGCUGGUUUUCCAGGCAAAUCCGGAAAAUCAAGGCUGAGGCGUGAUGACGAGGCACUACGGUGCUGAAGCAACAAAUGCCCUGCUUCCAGGAAAAGCCUCUAAGCAUCAGGUAACAUCAAAUCGUACCCCAAACCGACACAGGUGGUCAGGUAGAGAAUACCAAGGCGCUUGAGAGAACUCGGGUGAAGGAACUAGGCAAAAUGGUGCCGUAACUUCGGGAGAAGGCACGCUGAUAUGUAGGUGAAGUCCCUCGCGGAUGGAGCUGAAAUCAGUCGAAGAUACCAGCUGGCUGCAACUGUUUAUUAAAAACACAGCACUGUGCAAACACGAAAGUGGACGUAUACGGUGUGACGCCUGCCCGGUGCCGGAAGGUUAAUUGAUGGGGUUAGCGGUAACGCGAAGCUCUUGAUCGAAGCCCCGGUAAACGGCGGCCGUAACUAUAACGGUCCUAAGGUAGCGAAAUUCCUUGUCGGGUAAGUUCCGACCUGCACGAAUGGCGUAAUGAUGGCCAGGCUGUCUCCACCCGAGACUCAGUGAAAUUGAACUCGCUGUGAAGAUGCAGUGUACCCGCGGCAAGACGGAAAGACCCCGUGAACCUUUACUAUAGCUUGACACUGAACAUUGAGCCUUGAUGUGUAGGAUAGGUGGGAGGCUUUGAAGUGUGGACGCCAGUCUGCAUGGAGCCGACCUUGAAAUACCACCCUUUAAUGUUUGAUGUUCUAACGUUGGCCCCUGAUCGGGGUUGCGGACAGUGUCUGGUGGGUAGUUUGACUGGGGCGGUCUCCUCCUAAAGAGUAACGGAGGAGCACGAAGGUUGGCUAAUCCUGGUCGGACAUCAGGAGGUUAGUGCAAUGGCAUAAGCCAGCUUGACUGCGAGCGUGACGGCGCGAGCAGGUGCGAAAGCAGGUCAUAGUGAUCCGGUGGUUCUGAAUGGAAGGGCCAUCGCUCAACGGAUAAAAGGUACUCCGGGGAUAACAGGCUGAUACCGCCCAAGAGUUCAUAUCGACGGCGGUGUUUGGCACCUCGAUGUCGGCUCAUCACAUCCUGGGGCUGAAGUAGGUCCCAAGGGUAUGGCUGUUCGCCAUUUAAAGUGGUACGCGAGCUGGGUUUAGAACGUCGUGAGACAGUUCGGUCCCUAUCUGCCGUGGGCGCUGGAGAACUGAGGGGGGCUGCUCCUAGUACGAGAGGACCGGAGUGGACGCAUCACUGGUGUUCGGGUUGUCAUGCCAAUGGCACUGCCCGGUAGCUAAAUGCGGAAGAGAUAAGUGCUGAAAGCAUCUAAGCACGAAACUUGCCCCGAGAUGAGUUCUCCCUGACUCCUUGAGAGUCCUGAAGGAACGUUGAAGACGACGACGUUGAUAGGCCGGGUGUGUAAGCGCAGCGAUGCGUUGAGCUAACCGGUACUAAUGAACCGUGAGGCUUAACCUU